GACGAACGCUGGCGGCGUGCCUAAUACAUGCAAGUAGAACGCUGAAGAGAGGAGCUUGCUCUUCUUGGAUGAGUUGCGAACGGGUGAGUAACGCGUAGGUAACCUGCCUUGUAGCGGGGGAUAACUAUUGGAAACGAUAGCUAAUACCGCAUAACAAUGGAUGACACAUGUCAUUUAUUUGAAAGGGGCAAUUGCUCCACUACAAGAUGGACCUGCGUUGUAUUAGCUAGUAGGUGAGGUAACGGCUCACCUAGGCGACGAUACAUAGCCGACCUGAGAGGGUGAUCGGCCACACUGGGACUGAGACACGGCCCAGACUCCUACGGGAGGCAGCAGUAGGGAAUCUUCGGCAAUGGGGGCAACCCUGACCGAGCAACGCCGCGUGAGUGAAGAAGGUUUUCGGAUCGUAAAGCUCUGUUGUAAGUCAAGAACGAGUGUGAGAGUGGAAGAUUCACACUGUGACGGUAGCUUACCAGAAAGGGACGGCUAACUACGUGCCAGCAGCCGCGGUAAUACGUAGGUCCCGAGCGUUGUCCGGAUUUAUUGGGCGUAAAGCGAGCGCAGGCGGUUUGAUAAGUCUGAAGUUAAAGGCUGUGGCUCAACCAUAGUUCGCUUUGGAAACUGUCAAACUUGAGUGCAGAAGGGGAGAGUGGAAUUCCAUGUGUAGCGGUGAAAUGCGUAGAUAUAUGGAGGAACACCGGUGGCGAAAGCGGCUCUCUGGUCUGUAACUGACGCUGAGGCUCGAAAGCGUGGGGAGCGAACAGGAUUAGAUACCCUGGUAGUCCACGCCGUAAACGAUGAGUGCUAGGUGUUGGAUCCUUUCCGGGAUUCAGUGCCGCAGCUAACGCAUUAAGCACUCCGCCUGGGGAGUACGACCGCAAGGUUGAAACUCAAAGGAAUUGACGGGGGCCCGCACAAGCGGUGGAGCAUGUGGUUUAAUUCGAAGCAACGCGAAGAACCUUACCAGGUCUUGACAUCCCGAUGCUAUUUCUAGAGAUAGAAAGUUACUUCGGUACAUCGGUGACAGGUGGUGCAUGGUUGUCGUCAGCUCGUGUCGUGAGACGUUGGGUUAAGUCCCGCAACGAGCGCAACCCCUAUUGUUAGUUGCCAUCAUUCAGUUGGGCACUCUAGCGAGACUGCCGGUAAUAAACCGGAGGAAGGUGGGGAUGACGUCAAAUCAUCAUGCCCCUUAUGACCUGGGCUACACACGUGCUACAAUGGUUGGUACAACGAGUUGCGAGUCGGUGACGGCAAGCUAAUCUCUUAAAGCCAAUCUCAGUUCGGAUUGUAGGCUGCAACUCGCCUACAUGAAGUCGGAAUCGCUAGUAAUCGCGGAUCAGCACGCCGCGGUGAAUACGUUCCCGGGCCU
rnacentral:rRNA from 1 species